rnacentral:rRNA from 1 species
GUGGGGAAUAUUGGACAAUGGGCGAAAGCCUGAUCCAGCCAUGCCGCGUGAGUGACGAAGGUCUUCGGAUUGUAAAGCUCUUUUGGCGGGGACGAUAAUGACGGUACCCGCAGAAUAAGCCCCGGCUAACUUCGUGCCAGCAGCCGCGGUAAUACGAAGGGGGCUAGCGUUGUUCGGAAUUACUGGGCGUAAAGCGCACGUAGGCGGAUUUGCCAGUCAGGGGUGAAAUCCCGGGGCUCAACCUCGGAACUGCCCUUGAUACAGCAAGUCUUGAGUCCGGAAGAGGUGAGUGGAAUUCCUAGUGUAGAGGUGAAAUUCGUAGAUAUUAGGAAGAACACCAGUGGCGAAGGCGGCUCACUGGUCCGGUACUGACGCUGAGGUGCGAAAGCGUGGGGAGCAAACAGGAUUAGAAACCCGAGUAGUCC